CACGUAGUUAGCCGGGGCUUUCUCGUGAGGUACCGUCACCGCGCCGCCCUCUUCGAACGGCGCUCCUCCGUCCCUCACAACAGAGCUUUACGACCCGAAGGCCUUCUUCGCUCACGCGGCGUCGCUCCGUCAGGCUUUCGCCCAUUGCGGAAGAUUCCCUACUGCUGCCUCCCGUAGGAGUCUGGGCCGUGUCUCAGUCCCAGUGUGGCCGGUCACCCUCUCAGGCCGGCUACGCAUCGUCGCCUUGGUGAGCCGUUACCUCACCAACUAGCUAAUGCGCCGCGGGCCCAUCCGCAAGUGACAGCCCAAAGGCCGCCUUUCAACCGAAGACCAUGCGGUCUUCGGUGUUAUCCGGUAUUAGCUCCGGUUUCCCGGAGUUAUCCCGGUCUUGCGGGCAGGUUGCCCACGUGUUACUCACCCGUCCGCCGCUGACCGAAUCAAGGCAAGCCCCAAUCCGGUCCGCUCGACUUGCAUGUAUUAGGCACGCCGCCAGCGUUCGUCCUGAGCCAGGAUCAAACUCU
rnacentral:rRNA from 1 species